AAGGGUCAACGUUGGCCACCAUGAAGACCAAUGAUGGCCACCAUGAAGACCAACGAUGGCCACCAUGAAGACCAACGAUGGCCACAAAGGCCAACGGUGGCCACCAUGAAGACCAACGAUGGCCACAAAGGUCCAUGAUGGCC